rnacentral:rRNA from 1 species
AGUGAACGCUGGCGGUAGGCCUAACACAUGCAAGUCGAACGGCAGCACAGUAAGUGCUUGCUCUUACGGGUGGCGAGUGGCGGACGGGUGAGGAAUACAUCGUAAUCUACUUUUUCGUGGGGGAUAACGUAGGGAAACUUACGCUAAUACCGCAUACGACCUACGGGUGAAAGCAUGGGAUCUUCUGACCUUGCGCGAUUGAAUGCGCCGAUGUCGGAUUAGCUAGUUGGCGGGGUAAAGGCCCACCCAGGCGACGAUCCGUAGCCGGUCUGAGAGGAGGAUCGGCCACACUGGAACUGAGACACGGUCCAGACUCCUACGGGAGGCAGCAGUGGGGAAUAUUGGACAAUGGGCGCAAGCCUGAUCCAGCCAUACCGCGUGGGUUGAGAAGGCCUUCGGGUUGUAAAGCCCUUUUGUUGGGAAAGAAAAGCAGCAGGUUAAUACCCCGCUGUUCUGACGGUACCCAAAGAAUAAGCACCGGCUAACUUCGUG